GGUCAUGUGAUUAACAUGUUUAUACGAUUUUACAAUGAUAAAAUGCUGUAGCAACUGAAAAUUACAUCUGUAUACCUUAGGCGAUUUGCAAAGUUUGAUAAUUGACCAUAUAAUAUAAGAAAGAGCUGUUGCAAACUUAGAAAUCCGCGAUUUGAACAAACGUAACGUUUACCAGUUGAAACCCGACGUUUCGUCUGACAAACGUGACGUUUGAAACCUAAACAAACGCGAAAAAUUCGGAACAGUUACCAGUUGAACGCAAUUGGUAAUAAUUGGAAUUAGUGGAAACUAUCUGCUAAAAUUUCAGGCAUAUAUGAACAGAGCUUUCACUUCAACAUGAAGCAAACUCAAACCUUUGAAAAUAGAAAUGUUCUGAUAUUUAAUGCAAAAGCUAAACAACCAAGUGGGCUUCGGACUAUUUCCAAAGUCACAGCAGAAAAAAAAACAUGUUUAGACAUGCAUGGAGAACAUGUGAAUUGUGAGAAAAUAAUUUUAUUAUUGUUAUACUUUCAACUUUUUUUAAAGUAUGGUUUUACAGCCUGGGCAGUAGCAGAUAUUCGGUAUGCCUCUAAUAUCUAGACAUAAUUAGUGUUUGGUUUUGCUAUUCUGAACUAGCUAAAUGUGCUUGUAAUUUAGACAAUUUAUGCUAUUGAAAAUCAUGCGAGCAAUUAAAUAUUAAAAGAAAAUGGCCAAUGAGGCUAUUUACUUUUAACAAACAAGAUGAUCA